rnacentral:rRNA from 1 species
GCACGAGCGCACCCCUAUUGAUAGUUGCCAACAGGUAAUGCUGGGAACUCUAUCAAGACUGCCGUUGAUAAAACGGAGGAAGGUGGGGACGAUGUCAAGUCAUCAUGGCCUUUAUGUUCAGGGCUACACACGUGCUACAAUGGUUGGUACAAAACGUCGCAAUCUCGUAAGAGUGAGCUAAUCGCAUAAAACCAAUCUCAGUUCGGAUUGAAGUCUGCAACUCGACUUCAUGAAGUUGGAAUCGCUAGUAAUCGCGGAUCAGCAUGCCGCGGUGAAUACGUUCCCGGGUCUUGCACACACCGCCCGU